GCGCCAUUAGCUCAAUGGUAGAGCAAAUGACUCUUAAUCAUUAGGCUGUAGGUUCGAGUCCUACAUGGCGCACCA
rnacentral:tRNA from 1 species